UGAGGAAUAUUGCACAAUGGGGGCAACCCUGAUGCAGCGACGCCGCGUGGGUGACGAAGGUCUUCGGAUCGUAAAGCCCUUUUCUGCGUGACGAGCAAGGACGGUAGCGCAGGAAUAAGUCUCGGCUAACUACGUGCCAGCAGCCGCGGUAAAACGUAGGAGACGAACGUUAUCCGGAGUUACUGGGCGUAAAGGGCGUGCAGGCGGCUGAUUAAGUCUGUUGUGAAACACUCCGGCUCAACCGGGGAAGGGCGAUAGAUACUGGUCAGCUCGAGGGCGGUAGAGGCGUGUGGAAUUCCGGGUGUAGUGGUGAAAUGCGUAGAUAUCCGGAGGAACACCAGUGGCGAAGGCGACACGCUGGGCCGCACCUGACGCUAAGACGCGACAGCAUGGGGAGCGA
rnacentral:rRNA from 1 species